AGAAACACUGCUAUAGAUGAUGAUGGCUUUAUAAAUGCAGUUGUUUUAUUUGAACGGUGUGACGGCUCUCCAUUGUUUUUUCAGCUCCACAGAAAACAAGGCCUGUCCAGAUCUCAACAUCCACCCUCCAUCCAGAUCACACUCUGAGCUCAUUUUCAAACACGUUGCCUCAUUUGACCACAUCAGACACGAAGCUUCAAUCCAGCACCAUCACGAUCACAGAUCAUCACAUCUCCUCACCAGGUUCAUUGGUGAUUAUCAUCACUGCAGAAGCAUUGGUUUUACUCCUGAUAGGACUUCCAUUGAUUUUAGUGGCUGUAUGGAAGAAAAAGAAGAAUAAAGGUCUGCUGUCGUCCUCCAUCGAAGAGUUUAAUCCAGUGAUUUAUGAACAGAUCAAAGAAGCUGGACGUCAUAAUGCCAGAGACACAGAAACCACUGUAGUUUACAGCUGUGUUUCCUAAACUUGUGUCAUAUGUGACUCUACAGACCCGUCAGUGAGACUCCAGCAUCUCUUCAUCAACUCCACAACACAAACCAGUUCAAUUUAGCUAAUAUAAUAUAGCAUCAUAUAUAAUAUGAUACUAAAUAUGUACAGUUUGGCAUCAGGGUGCAUGAUUUUGCAAGCACCAUUAAUAUAAUGCAUUUAUGAGCAUGUUGAGAACCAAGAGAAAUCAUCUUCAUCCUUCUCAUAAUUUUCAUUAUUUUACUGGAAAUCAGUCAUAAUUGACCUCAUUUUGUUGGCUUUACUCAAUCUUUUUGUAUUAUGUUUAUCAUUGUUAUAAUUGUUCUUUGUAUGUUUGCAGCUGAU